CUUAACCGCAAAGCAAGUCACCUUGAUUCGCAUGUUCUCCAGCCUAUUUGUCUUCUGUGCGUUUUGCGCUUAUCUUCUUUGUCUAUCGUAAUGGUGGCAUUUCCGUUUACGGUCGCAUGCGAUUGCCUCAUUCCUACGCAUAAACACAAGCGAAUUGCUCCGGCUGCAGGCAACCACUCAAUAAAAUCCACCAGCAAAAUAGUGAAGGGGCGGUUGGUUGGGUUAAAGGGUUGUGGCAAUGGUGGUUGAAAAUAGUGAAAUAAGAAAGUACAUAAAAUGCAAAUGAUUCAAAUAUAAAAAUAUCAAUCUAUAAUUACAAUCGCAUCUUGACAGUUUUCGCGCGGAUACGAGAUUACCAUGCGAGCAACACAAUGGGCUCCAACGCGCGCUGGUGGCGGACAAUGACCGCAUCGGGUGAGCAACCACAGCCCGGCAACAUAAAUUCUGCUGGGCAAAGCAAUCGCAGUUACGGCAUUCAAACGCACGCCAAACCGAUUCUGAUAUUGCUUUGUUAUUGCUGUGCCACAUUGGGAGUUGAGGACAUCCAUUGAGUUAUGAUUGUGGUAAAAAUGUAAUUUGUCUUUUGUAAACACUCACCUACAACUACAAUGUAUCAAUAAAAGCUACUGGAUCGCUGA